rnacentral:rRNA from 1 species
AUGGUGCUAUUCCUGGUGCUUUUGGUUAUGAAAAAACUGACAUUAGUCAGGAACUUUCUAAGAUUGGGAACCGCCGACCGCGACCCAUGGUGUGUAGAUGAUACACCGGUGAGGAUGAGGAGGAUCUUGCGAUUUCCAGAUUUCAAGUGUCUACACACUAUAUGUAGUAAGUUUUUUAGAGAAGUAGUCAAAUUAAAUCUGGAUACCAAUUUAUUGGAACAUUAUAUUUCUUACAGAAGUAGUCAAACAAUGAUAUCAAUUUGUUGGAACCAUCAAGGAGGUGACACUCCUGGAGGGUAUAUAUUCUCCAUCUUAUGCCUAUUUGAAAUACGGUUAUAG